rnacentral:lncRNA from 1 species
UUGUUUAAGUUCACUGUUCAAGAUAAGUAAGAAAGCCAAGAACCAUAACUCUUUUCUUGCAUAUUUCCAGCACUACAGACGAGCGAUGGCACCCGCAGGCGGUGCUCUUGUUUUUCUUAUUUUUUUUCCUUGAUUAACUGUUCAAAUAUACAAAUAUUUCAAUAGUGUGUGCUUCAAGUACUACAACACUGUACUAGUGUAUAUAAGCUGAGGUGCAGUGUGUGCUUCAAGUACUACAACACUGUACUAGUGCUUUACAGUGUGUAUAAGCUGAGGUGCAAUGUGUGCUUCAAGUACUACAACACUGUACUAGUGCUUCAAGUACUACAACACUACACUAGUGUAUAUAAGCUGAGGUGCAAUGUGUGCUUCAAGUACUACAACACUGUACUAGUGCUUCAAGUACUACAACACUGUACUAGUGUAUAUAAGCUGAGGUGCAGUGUGUGGUUCAAGUACUACAACACUGUACUAGUGUAUAUAAGCUGAGGUGCAAUGAUGUUUUCGGAGUAGAACAAAGUGCAAUAUAUCAACUUUGUUAAAUUCUUUUCUCUACUUGUAAUUUUUAUGUAUUGUAUAUUUUAGUUAGUUCUCAAUUUGACGAUAGAUUUGAUUAUUGAAAUGUUUCUACAGGAGAAUAUGACAAACCUUUGUCUCUAUAAGUUCAUCUUAGCUUGCCUUGAAUGGUGGCAUACGUUCUACGUUAUGUAUCACUACUUCUAACAAUUUAGUUUAUGUAUUCGUGAAUAGUCUGAAGUGGAGUAAAUAUUUUAGCAUGAAUAAUAUGUAAACUCAGAACAGUUACUACUUAACUCGUUCAUCUAGCGAAAUUAACUCGAAUUAGCGAAUGUUUUCUAGUUAUGUCGCGAACACUUCAUAGUUGACUAACACCUCGGAAAUUAUCUGAUUAUAAAGUUUAUUGUCUUUUACAAAA